rnacentral:rRNA from 1 species
UACGUAGGGGGCAAGCGUUGUCCGGAAUCAUUGGGCGUAAAGCGCGUGUAGGCGGCUGAGUAAGUCUGCUCUGAAAGCCCGGGGCUCAACCCCCGGGAGGCGGGUGGAUACUGCUCAGCUCGAGUCCGGAAGAGGAGUGUGGAAUUCCUGGUGUAGCGGUGAAAUGCGCAGAUAUCAGGAGGAACACCGAUGGCGAAGGCAGGUCUCUGGGCAUUAACUGACGCUGAGGAGCGAAAGCAUGGGGAGCGAACAGG